GACGAACGCUGGCGGCGCGCUUAACACAUGCAAGUCGAGCGAGAACCGGGGCUUCGGCCCCGGGGACAGCGGCGAACGGGUGAGUAACACGUGAGUAACCUGCCCUCGGCACCGGAAUAGCCCGGGGAAACUCGGAUUAAUGCCGGAUAGCCCCUCUGCCCUGCGGGGCGGCGGGAAAAGGUAGCUUCGGCCUCUGGCCGAGGAUGGGCUCGCGGCGGAUUAGCUUGUUGGCGGGGUAACGGCCCACCAAGGCGACGAUCCGUAGCUGGUCUGGGAGGACGAUCAGCCACACUGGGACUGGGACACGGGCCAGACUCCUACGGGAGGCAGCAGUGGGGAAUCUUGCGCAAUGGGCGAAAGCCUGACGCAGCGACGCCGCGUGCGGGAAGAAGGCCUUCGGGUUGUAAACCGCUUUCAGGAGGGACGAAGCCACUCGGGUGAACAGCCCAGAGGGUGACGGUACCUCCAGAAGAAGCCCCGGCUAACUACGUGCCAGCCGCCGCAGUAACAC
rnacentral:rRNA from 1 species